rnacentral:rRNA from 1 species
UGCCAGCCUCCGCGGUACUACUGAUUGUGCAAGCGUUAAUCGGAAUUACUGGGCGUAAAGCGCGCGUAGGCGGCAUAUUCAGUCGGAUGUGAAAUCCCUCGGCUUAACCGGGGAACUGCAUUCGAUACUAGUAUGCUUGAGUCCUGGAGAGGGGAGUGGAAUUCCCGGUGUAGAGGUGGAAUUCGUAGAUAUCGGGAGGAACAUCUGUGGCGAAGGCGACUCUCUGGACAGUGACUGACGCUGAGGCUCGAAAGCGUGGGUAGCAAACAGGAUUAGAUA